UACAGAGGUGGCAAGCGUUGUUCGGAAUUACUGGGCGUAAAGCGCGUGUAGGCGGCUAAGUAAGUCGGGCGUGAAAUCCCACGGCUCAACCGUGGAAGUGCACUCGAAACUGCAUAGCUAGAGUCCUGGAGAGGAAGGUGGAAUGCUUGGUGUAGAGGUGAAAUUCGUAGAUAUCAAGCGGAACACCGGUGGCGAAGGCGGCCUUCUGGACAGUGACUGACGCUGAGACGCGAAAGCGUGGGGAGCAAACAGG
rnacentral:rRNA from 1 species